rnacentral:rRNA from 1 species
GUCCUUUUGAAAAUAAUUUAAGGUCUAACCUGCCCACUGAGUAAUUAAAGGGCCGCAGUAUUUUAACUGUGCAAAGGUAGCAUAAUAAUUAGUUUCUUAAUUAGAAGCUGGUAUGAAUGGUUGAACGAGAAAUUAGCUGUCUCAAUUUAUUAAUUAGAAUUUUAUUUUUAAGUCAAAAAGCUUAAAUUUAUUUAAAAGACGAGAAGACCCUAUAGAGUUUUAUAUUAAUAUAAAUUUUUUUUAUUUAGAAUUUAUUUUUUUUUUAUUAAUAUUUUGUUGGGGUGAUAUAUAAAUUUAAUAAACUUUAUAUUUUUAUUAACAUUAAUUUAUGAUUUUUUGAUCCAUUUUUUAUGAUUAAAAGAAAAAAUUACCUUAGGGAUAACAGCGUUAUUUUUUUUUAGAGUUCAAAUCGAAAAAAAAGAUUGCGACCUCGAUGUUGGAUUAAAGUUAAUUUUUGGUGUAGAAGCUAAAAAAUUAGGUCUGUUCGACCUUUAAAACUUUACAUGAUCUGAGUUUAGACCGGCGUGAGCCAGGUUGGUUUCUAUCUUUAAAAAAAAUAAAUAUUUUAGUACGAAAGGACCAAAUAUUUUUAAAAUUUAAUUUAUAAUGAAUU